ACUCAUUUUGGCAGCAUAUACUAAAAUUGGAAAAAUACAAAGGAGAUUAGUACGGACCAUGGACAAAGGAUGACAUGUAAAUUUGUGAAACAUUCCAUAUUCUU